rnacentral:lncRNA from 1 species
CCCGCAAAGAGACCCCACCCCGAAGGUGCCCCAUGACCACAAACGCAGGCGUCACCACCGCAUUUACGCAAGAUCCUCGCCGUCUCAGGGGUCCGAGCUUCCACGUUCGACCUCAUCCGUCACGGCGGAGUAGAAAGGAUCAAGACUGAAGAGAAACAAUCUAAGGGAACCGCCAUUCCUUUCAACAGAUCCGCCGAUACCAAAGCCUCUCUACAAUCAGAGACGUCUCUGCGUCCUCAAACUAAAGAGAGCACGCCUUACUCCCAUUGAGACACUAGAACUACAGAGCUCUCUUAGGGUCUUCGAAACAGAGACCAUCAGAUUCGCUGAGAGAGAGAAGAAGUGCCUCCAGUACACGCAGCCGGUGCUAUUCCAUCAUGUGGCUCGAGAUCCGGAAGGGGGGAGGGGGGGGAGCACGCUCCAGCUCAGGCGAAGGCGCCGUACACCGAAACGUUUCCGAAUUCUAGAAGAUGCAGAGAUGAAAAGUUGUGAAAGUAGAGAGACGCGCAUGAAACUAGAGUUGAAGAGAAAGAUUACAAAGAGAUGAAUCUGGGAAAAAUGAGAGAUCUUGAAAUAUGAUUCUCUGGAAAAAAUCAAAGAAAGUGAGAACAAUAAUAAUCGUAAGAAAG